rnacentral:rRNA from 1 species
CCCUUAGAUGUCCUGGGCCGCACGCGCGCUACACUGACGGAGCCAGCGAGCGUGUCCUUCGCCGAAAGGUGCGGGUAAUCUUGGCAGCCUCCGUCGUGCUGGGGAUAGAUGGUUGCAAUUAUUGAUCUUGAACGAGGAAUUCCUAGUAAGCGCGAGUCACCAGCUCGCGUUGAUUACGUCCCUGCCCUUUGUACACACCGCCCGUCGCUACUACCGAUUGGAUGGCUUAAUGAGAGCUCUGGAUCUCUGCCGGCGCGGUCCUCACGGGUCGCGUUGGAUGGGGAGAAGUUGCUCAAAUUGAGUCGUCUAGAGGAAGUAAAAGUCGUAACA